rnacentral:rRNA from 1 species
CACAUGCAAGUCGAACGGAAAGUCCCUGCUUGCAGGGUACUCGAGUGGCGAACGGGUGAGUAACACGUGGGUGAUCUGCCCUGCACUUCGGGAUAAGCUUGGGAAACUGGGUCUAAUACCGGAUAGGAGCCAUCUUUAGUGUGGUGGUUGGAAAGUUUUUUCGGUGUAGGAUGAGCUCGCGGCCUAUCAGCUUGUUGGUGGGGUAAUGGCCUACCAAGGCGGCGACGGGUAGCCGGCCUGAGAGGGUGUACGGCCACAUUGGGACUGAGAUACGGCCCAGACUCCUACGGGAGGCAGCAGUGGGGAAUAUUGCACAAUGGGCGCAAGCCUGAUGCAGCGACGCCGCGUGGGGGAUGAAGGCCUUCGGGUUGUAAACUCCUUUCGCUAGGGACGAGGCUUUCUUGUGACGGUACCUAGAUAAGGAGCACCGGCUAACUACGUGCCAGCAGCCGCGGUAAUACGUAGGGUGCGAGCGUUGUCCGGAAUUACUGGGCGUAAAGGGCUCGUAGGUGGUUUGUCGCGUCGUCUGUGAAAUUCUGGGGCUUAACUCCGGGCGUGCAGGCGAUACGGGCAUAACUUGAGUGCUGUAGGGGGUAACUGGAAUUCCUGGUGUAGCGGUGAAAUGCGCAGAUAUCAAGGAGGAACACCGA